rnacentral:tRNA from 1 species
UAUCUCAGUUGGUAGAGUGUUUGCCUUGCAUGCACAAGGUCCUGGGUUCAAUCCCCAG